rnacentral:rRNA from 1 species
AAAACUUUUAAUAACGGAUCUCUUAGUUCUAGUAUCGAUAAAGAACGUAGCAAAAUGCGAUAAGUAAUAUAAAUUAUAGAAUUUAGUAAAUUAUCGAAUCUUUAAACGUAUAUUACGCCCCCUAGUAUUCCGGGGGGUAUGCCCGUUCGAGCGUUAUUAUACUACUCUAGCCUCGCUAGGUAUUAGGCGUCUUUCGCGGAGGAUUACCCCCCCGCGCGCCUUAAAGUCUCCGGCUAAGCGGUCUCGUCUCCUAGCGUUAUAGUAUUAUGUCUCGCCGCGGAGUUUACGAGCCCUUACGGCCGUUAAAUUAUACCUUAGGUUAACCUCGGAUCGGGUAGGGAUACCCGCUAAACUUAAGUAUAUUAAUAAGCGGAGGAAAAGAAACUAAUAGGGAUUGCCCUAGUAACGGCGAGUAAAGCGGUAAUAGCUUAAAUUUAAAAUCUAGCCCUCCGGCCCGAGUUAUAAUUUAUAGAGGAUACUUCUAGGUAGCGACCGGUCUAAGUUCCUUAGAAUAGGACGUUAUAGAGGGUAAGAAUCCUAUAUACGACCGGCCCGCGCCCUCUACGUAGCUCCUUCGACGAGUCGAGUUGUUUAGGAAUAUAGCUCUAAAUAGGAGGUAAAUUUCUUCUAAAGCUAAAUACCGGCUAGAGACCGAUAGCGUAUAAGUAGAGUAAUCGAAAGAUAAAAAGUACUUUAGAAAGAGAGUUAAAAAGUACGUAAAAUUAUUAAAAGGGAAGCGCUUAUAACUAGACUUUAGGGCGGUGUUCCGCCGGUCUUCUAACCGGUCUACUCUCCGUCCUAAGGCUAAUAUUAUCUAGGACCGCCGGAUAAGACCUUAGGAAUAUAGCUCCCCCUCGGGGGAGUAUUAUAGCCUAUAGUAAUACGGCGCGUCCCGGGUAAGGUCCGCGCUUCGGUAAGGAUAUUAGCGUAAUAGUUAUUAGCGGCCCGUCUUAAAACACGGACUAAGGAGUCUAAUAUCUAUACGAGUGUUCGGGUAUUAAACCCCUACGCGGAAUAAAAGUAAACGGAGGUAGGAAGGAGUAACCCUAUACUAUCGACCGAUCCUAAUAUCCUCGGAUAGAUUUAAGUAAGAGUAUAGCUAUUAGGACCCGAAAGAUAGUAAACUAUACCUAAAUAGGGUAAAGCUAGAGGAAACUCUAGUAGAGGCUCGUAGCGGUUCUAACGUACAAAUCGAUCGUUAAAUUUAGGUAUAGGAGCGAAAGACUAAUCGAACUAUCUAGUAGCUAGUUCCUACCGAAGUUUCCCUUAGGAUAGUAGUAACGUUUUUAGUUUUAUAAGGUAAAGCGAAUAAUUAGAGGCCUUAGGGUUAAAACAACCUUAACCUAUUCUUAAACUUUAAAUAUAUAAGAAGUCCUUAUUACUUAGUUAAACGUAGACAUUUAAAUAUAUCGUUACUAGGAGGCUAUUUUUAGUAAGUAGAACUAGCGAUACGGGAUAAACCGAACGCGAGGUUAAGGUACCGGAAUAUACGCUUAUUAGAUACUAUAAAAGGUAUUAGUUUAUCUAGAUAGUAGGACGGUAGCUAUAGAAGUCGGAAUCCGCUAAGGAGUAUAUAAUAACUUACCUACCGAAUAAACUAGCCCUAAAAAUAGAUAGCGCUUAAGCGUACUACCUAUACCUCGCCGCUAGGGUAGAAACGAUGCCCUAGCGAGUAGGUAGGCGUAGAGGUCCGUAACGAAGCCUUAGGGGUAACCCCGGGUCGAACGGCCUCUAGUAUAGAUCUUAGUAGUAGUAGUAAAUACUAAACUUUAAGGACUAAAGUAGGGAAAGGUUCCGUAUAAAUAGUAGUUAGAUACGGGUUAGUCGAUCCUAAGCUAUAGGGAAAUUCCGUUUUAAAGUAUAUACUCCGUACCGCCCGGCGAAAGGGAAACCGGUUAACAUUCUACUACCUAGAUAUAGAUUAUCCGCGGUAACGUAACUAAAGGUAGAGACGUCGGUAGGGGCCCCGGGAAGAGUUCUCUUUUCUUCUUAACGGUCCGUUACCCUAAAAUCGGUUUGUCCGGAGCUAGGGUUUAACGACCGGUAGAGCGGCGUACCUUUACGCCGUCCGGUACGCUCCCGACGAUCCUUAAAAAUCUACCGGAAGGAAUAAUUUUUACGCUAGGUCGUACUUAUAACCGUAGUAGGUCUCUAAGGUAAAUAGCCUCUAGUUAAUAGAAUAAUAUAGAUAAGGGAAGUCGGCAAAAUAGAUCCGUAACUUCGGGAAAAGGAUUAGCUCUAAGGGUUAGGCGCGUUAGGCCUUAGGUAGAUUCCCGGGGAGUAGGUCGGCACUAGCCUUACGGCCGGCGCCUUCUAGUACCCCGUAGCGGACGCCCUUAGUAGGCUUCGGCCGUCCGGCGCGCGCUUAAUAACUAACUUAGAACUAGUACGGAUAAGGGGAAUCUAACUAUCUAAUUAAAAUAUAGUAUUACGAUAGUUAGAAAGUAAUAUUAACGUAAUAUAAUUUCUACCUAGUACUCUAAAUAUUAAAGUAAAGAAAUUUAACUAAGCGCGGGUAAACGGUAGGAGUAACUAUAACUCUCUUAAGGUAGCUAAAUGCCUCGUUAUCUAAUUAGUAACGCGUAUAAAUAGAUUAACGAGAUUCCUACUAUCCCUAUCUACUAUCUAGCGAAACUAUAGCUAAGGGAACGGGCUUAGUAGAAUUAGUAGGGAAAGAAGACCCUAUUAAGCUUAACUCUAGUUUAAUAUUAUAAAAAGAUAUAGGGGGUAUAGAAUAGGUAGGAGCUUCGGCGCCGGUAAAAUACUACUACCCUUAUCGUUUUUUUACUUAAUUAAUAAAGCGGAACUAGUCUUUACUAACUGUUUUCUAGCGUUAAGGUUAUUCGCGGGCCGAUCCGGGUUAAUAAUAUUAUUAGGUAGGGAGUUUAGCUAGGGCGGCACAUCUAUUAAACUAUAACGUAGGUGUCCUAAGGAGGACUUAUAGAGAAUAGAAAUCUCUAGUAGAGUAAAAGGGCAAAAGUCCCCUUAAUUUUAAUUUUUAGUAUAAAUAUAAACUAUAAAAGUAUAGCCUAUCGAUCCUUUAGUCCCUCGAAAUUUAAGGCUAGAGGUACUAGAAAAGUUACUAUAAGGAUAACUAGCUUAUAGUAGCUAAGCGUUUAUAGCGACGUUACUUUUUAAUCCUUCGAUGUCGGCUCUUCCUAUUAUACUAAAGUAGAAUUCGGUAAGCGUUAGAUUGUUUACCUACUAAUAGGGAACGUAAGCUAGGUUUAGACCGUCGUAAGAUAGGUUAGUUUUACCCUACUAAUAACCGUCGUCCUAAUAGUAAUACCGCUUAGUACGAGAGGAACCGUAGUUUUAGAUAAUUAGUUUUUACGGCUAUCCGACCGGGUAGUACCGUAAAGCUACUAUCUACUAGAUUAUAGCUAAACGCCUCUAAGUUAGAAUCUAUACUAGAACGGGACGAUCCUCUCUAGUACGCCUUAGGCGGAUAAGAAUAGGUACUACUAGUACCUAGGACCCCUUUAUCCCCUAUAAGAUACGUAGGGGCGACGGGCGUAUCGUAAUUUUAUCGCGCGCUAGGAUAAAUCCCUUAUAUACGACUUAGACGUCCGACCGGGUCGUAUAAGUAGUCGAGUAGCCUUAUUAUUACGAGCUACUAAGCGUAAGCCCGACGUUAGCUCGAUUUAUUAAAU